AUGUCUAGCCUCCGAGUUGGCUCUCAAACCAUCACCGACCAUGAUGCCAUGGCCGAGGCAGCCUUUGCUUACUUCUUCGACGUCCUCGGCAGCACCUCCGAGCGCGACAUCACCCUAGACCUCCACGCUCUCCGGGUGCCGCAGUUUGACCUUCUCGAGCUCGAUGCACCCUUCACUAAGGAAGAGAUAUGGAACGCCAUCAAGAGUUUGCCGGCCGAGAAAGCACCAAGCCCCGAUGGAUUCACCUCCGAAUUCCUAGUUGCAUGUUGGAACACAAUCAAGCAUGACUUCCGCAAGGCGUUCGACAAGCUUUACGCCAUGAACGGCAUAGGCUUUCAAAAGCUCAAUGAGGCCCUCCCUACGCUGCUUCCCAAACGUGCGGACGCGCAGUCUCUCUUCGACUAUCGACCUAUCAAUCUCAUAUACAUCUUCGCCAAGCUCGCCGCAAAGCUGCUCUCCCUCCGCCUUGCGCCACGGCUGGAAUCCAUGGUCUCCACUAAUCAAAGUGCAUUCAUCGCGGGAUAUUGCAUCCAUGACAACUAUCUUCUGCUGCAACAGACGGCUUGCCUCCUGCACAACCUCAAGGCACCAUGCAUGCUGCUCAAGUUGGAUAUCCCGCGGGCCUCCAACAGUGUAUCCUGGCCUUUUCUCCUCCAGAUACCGCAUCAUCUCGGCUUUGGGCCACAUUGGCACGAAUGGAUCUCCAUACUCCUAUCAAUGGCCUCUAUGAGAGUCCUCAUCAAUGGCCACCCGGGAUCACCGAUUGAUCACGCUCAUGGCCUUCGGCAAGGCGACCUAGUGUCCCCCAUGCUUUUACUCUGGUCAUUAACGUUCUGA
rnacentral:rRNA from 1 species